rnacentral:rRNA from 1 species
AGUGAACGCUGGCGGUAGGCCUAACACAUGCAAGUCGAACGGCAGCACAGUAAGAGCUUGCUCUUACGGGUGGCGAGUGGCGGACGGGUGAGGAAUACAUCGGAAUCUACUUUUUCGUGGGGGAUAACGUAGGUAAACUUACGCUAAUACCGCAUACGACCUACGGGUGAAAGCAGGGGAUCUUCUGACCUUGCGCGAUUGAAUGAGCCGAUGUCGGAUUAGCUAGUUGGCGGGGUAAAGGCCCACCAAGGCGACGAUCCGUAGCUGGUCUGAGAGGAUGAUCAGCCACACUGGAACUGAGACACGGUCCAGACUCCUACGGGAGGCAGCAGUGGGGAAUAUUGGACAAUGGGCGCAAGCCUGAUCCAGCCAUACCGCGUGGGUGAAGAAGGCCUUCGGGUUGUAAAGCCCUUUUGUUGGGAAAGAAAAGCAGCAGGUUAAUACCCCGCUGUUCUGACGGUACCCAAAGAAUAAGCACCGGCUAACUUCGUG